ACGUUCAGGUAAUCGCUGCAUCGCUUCGAUGUAGAGGAAAGUCCAUGCUCGCACGAUCUGAGAUGAUCGUAGUGUUCGUGCUCAGUGAAAAAAUAAACUGAGGUAGUUCGGCUAAUGCUGAACUAACGGCAGGGAAAGCACCUACGUCUUUUAGAUAUGGUGUGAAUACCUUGAAAGUGCCACAGUGACGUAGUUCUCUUGGAAACGAGAGAAGUGGAACGAGGUAAACCCCACGAGCGAGAAACCCAAACUAUGGUAGGGGAACCUUCUCAACGGAAUUCAACGGAGAGAAGGACGAAUGACGAUUCAUUCGUAGAUAAAUGAUUGCCGCCGGAGUACGAGGUUCGCACCGUUUGCAGUACGAAGGUACAAAACAUGGCUUAUCGAA
rnacentral:RNase_P_RNA from 1 species